CCUACGGGAGGCAGCAGUGGGGAAUAUUGCGCAAUGGGCGAAAGCCUGACGCAGCGACGCCGCGUGGGGGAUGAAGGUCUUCGGAUCGUAAAACUCUGUCAGCAGGGAAGAACGGUCACAGUGCUAAACAGUAGUGAAUUGACGGUACCUGCAAAGGAAGCACCGGCUAACUACGUGCCAGCAGCCGCGGUAAUACGUAGGUUGCGAGCGUUAAUCGGAAUUACGGGGAGUAAAGGGUGUGCAGGCGGUUUUGCAAGAUGGAUGUGAAAGCCCCGGGCUUAACCCGGGAAAGCCAUACAUUACUGCAAGACUAGAGUGCGUCAGGGGGGAGUGGAAUUCCAAGUGUAGCAGUGAAAUGCGUAGAUAUUGGGAAGAACACUGAUGGCGAAGGCAGCCCCCUGGGACGCAACUGACGCUCAUACACGAAAGCGUGGGGAGCAAACAGGAUUAGAUACCCCUGUAGUC
rnacentral:rRNA from 1 species